GCGCGGUUAGCUCAGUUGGUAGAGCAUCUCAUUGACGUUGAGAGGGUCGCAAGUUCGAAUCUUGCACCGCGCA
rnacentral:tRNA from 1 species